CUUUUUCGAUUUUGUGAGUUUGCAUAUGAUAUGUUUGUCCCUUUUACCCAUUACCCUUGUAUGCAACUAUGCUCUUACAUGUGAACUACUUAUCUCAUUCCCUCUUUCCAUGUUUGUGUUUGCUUUCCUAAACUCUAGGUGAUAUUCUAGUUCUGAGAUUGUCCUACUCACCUUCUUACAAAACUGCCACACUCUUCUACUGUUUUCUUUCAAGAGCUGAUUCUAUAGGGAUCAUUUUUCAAAUUGUUUCUCUUAACUUAAUUUCUUUAAAAGUGUCCUACCCCCUUCAUGUAAGCAUUUGUUUGGGUACCUUUGAGUAAUCACUGAACUUUGAUGCAUAAGGAUGGUAAUUCCACCCUGCACUUGUCCAACAAUUUUGGUAAGUGCAUUGGGUGAUGGUAUUGGCCAGGGACCCAAUAUUUGCCUUAGGGAGCUUUGCUGCAGCUAGACUAUGGCAAAGGCUGUGAAACCUGAAAUGAGUGAGGUUGGAAAAAUGGGCCUGACUGAAGGCUCCCUAUAUAAUAACUUUUUCUUUUCUUUAUUAUUGUAAUUAAGCUAUCCUUGGUUUGUAAUAAUUUGUAAUUGAACGAUUG
rnacentral:lncRNA from 1 species